rnacentral:tRNA from 1 species
GGAGGAUUACCCAAGUGGUCGAAGGGGUCGCACUCGAAAUGCGAUAGGGCGGGUAACUGCUGCGUGGGUUCGAAUCCCAUGUCCUCCG